rnacentral:rRNA from 1 species
UACGUAGGGCGCAAGCGUUGUCCGGAAUUAUUGGGCGUAAAGAGCUCGUAGGCGGUUUGUCGCGUCGAAUGUGAAAACCCGGGGCUCAACCCCGGGCCUGCAUUCGAUACGGGCAGACUAGAGUUCGGUAGGGGGAGUCUGGAAUUCCUGGUGUAGCGGUGAAAUGCGCAGAUAUCAGGAGGAACACCGGUGGCGAAGGCGGGACUCUGGGCCGAUACUGACGCUGAGGAGCGAAAGCGUGGGGAGCAAACAGG